GUAGGUGGCAAGCGUUGUCCGGAAUUAUUGGGCGUAAAGCGCGCGCAGGCGGUCCUUUAAGUCUGAUGUGGAAGCCCACGGCUCAACCGUGGAGGGUCAUUGGAAGCUGGGGGACUUGAGUACAGAAGAGGAAAGCGGAAUUCCAAGUGUAGCGGUGAAAUGCGUAGAGAUUUGGAGGAACACCAGUGGCGAAGGCGGCUUUCUGGUCUGUAACUGACGCUGAGGCGCGAAAGCGUGGGGAGCAAACAGGGAUUAGAUACCCUGGUAGUCCACGCCGUAAACGAUGAGUGCUAAGUGUUAGGGGGUUUCCCGCCCCUUAGUGCUGCAGCUAACGCAUUAAGCACUCCGCCUGGGGAUACGGCCGCAAGGCUG
rnacentral:rRNA from 1 species